UACUAGUAUGCUACUAUAUAUUCAUUUCCAUAUCAAUUUAUAAUCUUAUACAAUUAUGGAAAAACUGGAAUAUUCUUUAAAUCUUUUUGUUCUAUCCCUUCAAUUCUAUUUUUUUUUUACCAUCAUCCGUAUUUUGUUCUAUACAGAUGUAUUUAUUAUGUGAUGAAGCCUGACUCUUCUUUCAAAAACCUUUCUAAUUACUUAACUCACAUCUUGCCCAUCCCAUCCAUUUAAAUUAUUAUCGCAUAUAUCAAGAUUAUCCUACCACCUAAUUUGAAUUUUUAAGUGUUAACCGGCUGUUAAAAGAAAUGAGUAGGUGGUAGAGCCACUGAUCAGUGAUCACCUUG
rnacentral:lncRNA from 1 species